rnacentral:rRNA from 1 species
UACGUAGGGUCCGAGCGUUGUCCGGAAUUAUUGGGCGUAAAGGGCUCGUAGGCGGUUUGUCGCGUCGGGAGUGAAAACCUUGGGCUUAACUCAGGGCUUGCUUUCGAUACGGGCAGACUAGAGGUAUGCAGGGGAGAACGGAAUUCCUGGUGUAGCGGUGAAAUUCGUAGAUAUCAAGCGGAACACCGGUGGCGAAGGCGGCCUUCUGGACAGUGACUGACGCUGAGACGCGAAAGCGUGGGGAGCAAACAGG